UACAGAGGGUGCGAGCGUUGUCCGGAAUCACUGGGCGUAAAGGGCGCGUAGGCGGCGCGGUAAGCGUGCGGUGAAAGCCCGGGGCUCAACCCCGGGUCGGCCGUGCGGACUGCCGGGCUGGAGCACUGUAGAGGCAGGUGGAAUUCCGGGUGUAGCGGUGGAAUGCGUAGAGAUCCGGAAGAACACCGGUGGCGAAGGCGGCCUGCUGGGCAGUAGCUGACGCUGAAGCGCGACAGCGUGGGAGCAAACAGG
rnacentral:rRNA from 1 species